rnacentral:rRNA from 1 species
AAUCAACGUUUGCGGCGUGCCUAACACAUGCAAGUCGAACGAGAACUCUCCCUUCGGCCUGGGGGAAAGUGGCGCACGGGUGCGUAACACGUGGGUGAUCUACCCUCUGGACUGGGACAACCCGGGGAAACUCAGGCUAAUACCGGAUGUGUCGUGGAAAUCCUAGGGUUUCCACGGGAAAGGCCCGAUCGGGCUACCUGAGGACCAGCUCGCGGCCCAUCCCCUAUUUGGUGAGGUAAUGGGUCACCGAUGCCCAGAGGGAUAAUUGGUCUGAGAGGAUGAUCGGCCACACUGGAACUGAGACACGGUCCACACUCCUAACGCAGGCAGCAGGGGGGAAUAUUGAAUUGUGGGCGAAGGCCUGACGCAUGCUCACCCCGUGUGCCAUGAAGGACUUCGGAUCUCAAAUUACUGUGUGGGGAGAAUAACAAAGACGGUGAACAACCUGCCCUGACGGAAUCCCCUUAUCAAGCACCGGCUAACUCCGUGC